rnacentral:lncRNA from 1 species
AUGGAAGCCCCAUCUCAGCUUCUCUGCCUCCUGUACUCUAGCUCCCAGGUGAGGGGAAGAGGAGAUGAGAAGUUAUGUUGAUGCAGUCUCUUGACUCCUUGUCUUUGUCUUCAGGGAAAAGAGACUCUCUCAUCUGUGUGUGCAGUCAGAGCAUUGGCAGCUCCUUAGCCUGGUAUCAGCAGAAACCUGGAAAAGCUCCCUGGUUCCUCAUCUAAGGCACAUCCAACAGGGCCACUAGCAUCCUGGGGUUUAGUGGUCAUGGAUUGGAGACAGACUUUACUAUCACCAUCAGCUGCCUGAAGCCUAAGAUUUU